GGAGCUUAGGAUUGAUUCUACUGGAACUGUUCAUGGGCCAUUUUCCAUACUUGUCGAAGGGGUAAAGACCUGACUGGGCUACACUUAUGUGUGCCAUAUGCAUCGGCGAACCACCGAGCUUGCCGGAAGUGCAUCAGAAAAUUUCAAAAAUUUCAUUCAGUGUUGUUUGCAGAAGGAUUCUAGUAAACGAUGGAGUGCAACCCAACUGUUAUCACAUCCUUUUGUGAGAGAUAUUGAACUGAAAUCAACAUGAGGAGAUUAAUUUUCGAGGAUUAUGGUCGAAAAUUCGAGGGUAACAUUUUGGGGAACUGUUUGUACAUAUAAAAGCAGAAU
rnacentral:lncRNA from 1 species